rnacentral:rRNA from 1 species
UACGGGGGGGGCAAGCGUUGUUCGGAAUUACUGGGCGUAAAGGGCUCGUAGGCGGCCAACUAAGUCAUACGUGAAAUCCCUCGGCUUAACCGGGGAACUGCGUCUGAUACUGGAUGGCUUGAGAUUGGGAGAGGGAUGCGGAAUUCCAGGUGUAGCGGUGAAAUGCGUAGAUAUCUGGAGGAACACCGGUGGCGAAGUCGGCAUCCUGGACCAACACUGACGCUGAGGAGCGAAAGCCAGGGGAGCAAACGGG